ACGGGAGGCAGCAGUGAGGAGUAUUGGUCAAUGGCCGGAAGGCUGAACCAGCCAAGUAGCGUGAGGGAUGACUGCCCUAUGGGUUGUAAACCUCUUUUGUCCGGGAAUAAAGUGGUCCACGCGUGGUCCAUUGCAUGUACCGGCCGAAUAAGCAUCGGCUAACUCCGUGCCAGCAGCCGCGGUAUACGGAGGAUGCGAGCGUUAUCCGGAUUUAUUGGGUUUAAAGGGAGCGUAGGCGGAAGGUCAAGUCAGCUGUGAAAUGUAGUCGCUCAACGUCUGCACUGCAGUUGAAACUGGCCUCCUUGAGUGCGUAAGAGGCAGGCGGAAUUCGUCGUGUAGCGGUGAAAUGCUUAGAUAUGACGAAGAACUCCGAUUGCGAAGGCAGCUUGCUGGGCCGCAACUGACGCUGAAGCUCGAAGGUGCGGGUAUCAAACAGGAUUAGAUACCCUGGUA
rnacentral:rRNA from 1 species